AUUGAACGCUGGCGGCAGGCUUAACACAUGCAAGUCGAGCGGGGUGAUGGUGCUUGCACUAUCACUUAGCGGCGGACGGGUGAGUAAUGUUUAGGAAUCUGCCUAUUAGUGGGGGACAACAUCUCGAAAGGAAUGCUAAUACCGCAUACGUCCUACGAGAGAAAGCAGGGGAUCUUCGGACCUUGCGCUAAUAGAUGAGCCUAAGUCGGAUUAGCUAGUUGGUGGGGUAAAGGCCUACCAAGGCGACGAUCUGUAGCGGGUCUGAGAGGAUGAUCCGCCACACUGGGACUGAGACACGGCCCAGACUCCUACGGGAGGCAGCAGUGGGGAAUAUUGGACAAUGGGCGGAAGCCUGAUCCAGCCAUGCCGCGUGUGUGAAGAAGGCCUUAUGGUUGUAAAGCACUUUAAGCGAGGAGGAGGCUACUUUAGUUAAUACCUAGAGAUAGUGGACGUUACUCGCAGAAUAAGCACCGGCUAACUCUGUGCCAGCAGCCGCCGUAACAC
rnacentral:rRNA from 1 species